AGGGGACACACAGGUCCAGGUGUGAUGUGAGUGGUCCCUCUCUCUAAUAUAUGAAUUAACACUCCAGAGAAAUCUCUGCUUUCUAUCUCUGCAACUUUGGGUUUGGUGUGUUUGGAAGUUCUAGUGCUCAAAGGGGAAUUCCUUUCACUAGGGAAGAAAAUCUUGGUUCUGUUUGAUUAGAAGCUGAGAUGGCCUCUUGGCUGCUGCUGCUAAACCAACAGACAUAGAGACAUGAUGGCAGUGAAACCUGACUGCGGUGCAUUUAGGAGAGAAUGUAGGACAGAAAAUGCACACCACCCUCCCUAGGAGACUUCCUCCAGAGGGGAGAAAAGAAAUGAAUGGGUGGUAACUGUCAGGGAAGUGGGCCACAAGAAGGUGAUUUUUCUUUAAGACAAUAUAAAAAAAAAAAAUUAGUGCUUUCUUCCCCUCCCUCUGCUCUGUCUCAUAUAAUGCAAUGCCUUCUUUUUCUUUCUCUUCAACAAAGCUAAAGGGGGAGCUUGCAGAUAGAAGGAUGAAAGCCAGUGGAGGGUUCCCCUGGAUGAACACAGGCAGUGUUAAGUAGGGGACACACUUUGCUGAGUUGCAUUGCACAUGCUAAUAGAAGGGAUGAUGAAAACUUCAAGGGGACUUUUGAAACACCAUAUUAACACCUACAUGUUCUGCUAACCUCCCUCCAGUGCUCAUGGCAGGUGUUACUGAACGAUCAUGGCAGUCCCUCUCCAUGAGCCUGAGGCUACUCAGUUUCUGCCUCGAUCCAGUGUUCUAGGCAGUUGCCACCAACCAGAGUUUGAAAAUAAGAUGACUCCGUUACCAUCUCUGAGUAGCCCAAGUGUUUGACUCCAGCGAUGGUGAUUUCAAAUCAAAGAAGACAAACAAAACAUAAGAUUCUUCAGGUAGAAAGACAGUGACAGAAACACGAAGAUGCAAAAAAGAAUGACAAGUCCUCAAGGAAUGGCCUUCUGGAGGAUAUGAACAGCCUAGGGGAGAAGGGAUUGCACCCAGUCACCUUGAAGAAAUGCCAAGAACUGAAGGCCUCACUCUGAUUCCCCUCUUAUUCCCAAACCCCUGUUCCCCUAACUUGUCAAUUAGACCAUGUUUCAGUCAUAUCUCUGUUGCUUACUGAGCCGCUUUGGGCAAAUCACAAUCCUCCCCCACCCCCCACCAGUCCAACGCCUUGGACAAGUUACUCAGCCUCUCUGAUGAUAAUUAAGAGUUGACCAUGAAGCCCCUACCCUAUAUCAGGUCUUGCACAGAAGAAGCACUUAAUAAAGGUCAAUCCCAUCCCUAUGUCUACUUCCUAACCUCCCCCUUCCUCUAGUCACACCUG